UACGUAGGGGGGCAAGCGUUGUCCCGGAUUUAUUGGGCGUAAAGAGCGUGUAGGCGGCCAGGUAGGUCUGCUGUGAAAACUCGAGGCUUAACCUCGAGAUGUCGGCGGAAACCAUCUGGCUAGAGUCCGGAAGAGGAGAGUGGAAUUCCUGGUGUAGCGGUGAAAUGCGCAGAUAUCAGGAAGAACACCCGUGGCGAAGGCGGCUCUCUGGGACGGUACUGACGCUGAGGAGCGAAAGCGUGGGGAGCGAACAGG
rnacentral:rRNA from 1 species